rnacentral:rRNA from 1 species
AGUGAAUGUUGGCGGCGUGGAUUAGGCAUGCAAGUCGUACGGUAAGCUUCGGCUUAUAGUGGCGAAAGGGAGAGUAACGCGUGGUUACAUGCCCUCGGGACCGGGAUAGCGGCGGGAAACUGCCGGUAAUACCGGAUAAUAUCUUUGGAUCAAAGGUGUGAUUCCGCCCGAGGAUUGGACCGCGUUCUAUUAGCUUGUUGGCGGGGUAAUGGCCCACCAAGGCGACGAUGGAUACCGGGUGUGAGAGCAUGGCCCGGCUCACUGGGACUGAGACGCGGCCCAGACCCUGACGGGUGGCUGCAGUCGAGAAUCUUCGGCAAUGGGGGCAACCCUGACCGAGCGACGCCGCGUGCGGGACGAAGGCCUUCGGGUUGUAAACCGCUGUCAGUUGGGAGGAAGUGCCGGGGGGUUCUCCCCUCGGUUUGACCGAUCUUCAGAGGAAGGACGGGCUAAGUUCGUGCCAGCAGCCGCCGUAA